rnacentral:snRNA from 1 species
AUAUCCUGGUUCCUCUUCAAAUUGUAUAAAUAUUUUUCCUUUUCCUAAAGAUUUCUGAGGAGGAGAACAACUUUGAGUCUUACUUAAUUGUUUGAGGACUUGUUUAGACAGGGC